rnacentral:rRNA from 1 species
CCUACGGGAGGCAGCAGUGAGGAAUAUUGGUCAAUGGGCGCGAGCCUGAACCAGCCAAGUCGCGUGAGGGAGGACGGCCCUACGGGUUGUAAACCUCUUUUUCCGGGGAGCAACGGGCGCCACGUGUGGCGUCACUGAGAUGACCCGGAGAAAAAGCAUCGGCUAACUCCGUGCCAGCAGCCGCGGUAAUACGGAGGAUGCGAGCGGUAUCCGGAUUUAUUGGGUUUAAGGGGUGCGUAGGCGGAUCGUUAAGUCAGUGGUCAAAUUGAGGGGCUCAACCCCUGCCCGCCAUUGAAACUGGUGUUCUUGAGUGGAAGAGAAGUGUGCGGAAUGCGUGGUGUAGCGGUGAAAUGCAUAGAUAUCACGCAGAACCCCGAUUGCGAAGGCAGCAUGCCGGCUUCCGACUGACGCUGAAGCACGAAAGCGUGGGGAUCGAACAGGAUUAGAUACCCGAGUAGUC